rnacentral:rRNA from 1 species
UACGUAGGGUGCGAGCGUUGUCCGGAAUUAUUGGGCGUAAAGGGCUCGUAGGCGGUUUGUCACGUCGGGAGUGAAAACUCGGGGCUUAACCCCGAGCCUGCUUCCGAUACGGGCUGACUAGAGGUAUGCAGGGGAGAACGGAAUUCCUGGUGUAGCGGUGAAAUGCGCAGAUAUCAGGAGGAACAGCCGGUGGCGAAGGCGGGUCUCUGGGCAGUAACUGACGCUGAGGAGCGAAAGCGUGGGGAGCGAACAGG